AGUAGUUGUAUUAGUGCUACAAGAACGACGCUGGCGGCAGGCCCUAACACAUGCAAGUCGAACGCCCUAGCAAUAGGGAGUGGCGCACGGGUGCGUAACGCGUGGGAAUAUGCCCUUCACUGCGGAAUAACGUUUGGAAACGAACGCUAAUACCGCAUAAUGACUCCGGUCCAAAGAUUUAUCGGUGAAGGAUUAGCCCGCGUUAGAUUAGCUAGUUGGUGAGGUAAUGGCUCACCAAGGCGACGAUCUAUAGCUGGUCUGAGAGGAUGAUCAGCCACACUGGGACUGAGACACGGCCCAGACUCCUACGGGAGGCAGCAGUGAGGAAUAUUGGACAAUGGGCGCAAGCCUGAUCCAGCCAUGCCGCGUGAGUGAAGAAGGCCUUCGGGUUGUAAAGCUCUUUCAGAUGUGAGGAUAAUGACGGUAGCAUCAGAAGAAGCCCCGGCUAAAUUCGUG
rnacentral:rRNA from 1 species